AACGAACGCUGGCGGCAGGCUUAACACAUGCAAGUCGAACGCAUCCUUCGGGGUGAGUGGCAGACGGGUGAGUAACGCGUGGGAACGUGCCCUUCAGUUCGGGAUAACCCAGGGAAACUUGGGCUAAUACCGGAUACGUGCGAGAGCAGAAAGAUUUAUCGCUGAAGGAUCGGCCCGCGUCUGAUUAGCUAGUUGGUGGAGUAAUGGCCCACCAAGGCGACGAUCAGUAGCUGGUCUGAGAGGAUGAUCAGCCACAUUGGGACUGAGACACGGCCCAAACUCCUACGGGAGGCAGCAGUGGGGAACAUUGGACAAUGGGCGCAAGCCUGAUCCAGCCAUGCCGCGUGAGUGAUGAAGGCCUUAGGGUUGUAAAGCUCUUUCGUCCGGGACGAUAAUGACGGUACCGGAAGAAGAAGCCCCGGCUAACUUCGUGCCAGCAGCCGCAGUAA
rnacentral:rRNA from 1 species